rnacentral:lncRNA from 1 species
AUUCAAUUUGUUUUCCUCUUUUCAAAUUGCAAAAACUUAACAUAACAUAACAUGUGAUAGCAGUAGUAGCAGUAGUCCCACCACUGAUGAAUAGAGAGAAUUGCAUUGAUACACAGAACAUGAUCUAAUCAUGCAAAAGACUAACCUAAUCAACCAGAAGGUACAUAAUAACAACACAAGGUGAAAAAACCCUUCCUAAUUAUUACUUUCAGUGUGUGUGGGUGGGAGAGAGAGAAUAGAAUUAAACUUGUUCUAAUUUGAGGCAAGGAAAAAUCGAAUAUGAUCGAGAAAGGUCAAAUUUUGAGGCCGAUCCUUGCGUUUCACAUAACCAAUCGUCUCUUUCUGCGAAUAACAUCUCAGCCCUCGCUUCCCGUUCUUCUUCCACAUCUCCAUCGCGUAAUUCCUGUGUGCAUAAUACGCCUCCGCGCAUGUUACCCCCACCACCGUCUCCCCCUCCGCCUCCUUCCCCUCCUCCUCCUCGCCCUCCCCCGCCGGAACCACCUUUAUUGGGAGACGCUCGUAGUGGGCGCGUGAUGUCCCCUCCAGUUCGUCCAUCCGAACGAGGCCGCGCGUGGAGACAGAGUAGAGCUCCCCGUGGACCCAACAACCCGACCCGGGAAUGUUGAGGAGGAAAGGGACCCGGUAUGGCCCGCAUACAAGAGGGUAUUUUCCGGCGGUGCGAUAGGUUCCGACGAAGGAAGCGUCGCCGGCGCGGAUGAGAUCUUGAAGAAGCGGGUGAUUGGAGAAUCCUCUCUUGAGGGUUCCGUAGGUGAAUAUUAACGUUCUCUCUCCGUCGCCGUUACCGUUAACCUCUCUUUCUCUUUCGGCCACCAUAUUUUCAGGAUAUGAAUUUGAUUGAGCCCGGAAGAGGAACAGAAGAUUGAAUGGUAAGCAUGAAAGAUUCACAACUUCCCUUUUUUAUAGUCCCAUUUUUUUUUUCUUUUUUAAUAUUCCUUUUUCCUUAAUUUUUUUGUGCCUUUAAAUUUCAUAAAAAUCAAUUAAGCCAAACUUAUUAGCACUUAAUUAAGAUUAAAAAAAAUUCUUGAUGCUUAAAUAAAUGGUUAUUCGGCUUUGAUAUCAUGGAAAGUGAAAAAAAAAUCAUCAACAUUUAAAUACGAUCAUGAUAAAAUUUUUUAAAAAUAAGUCACGUGUUAUUAUUUUAUUUACUCACUUAAAUUUAUUUAAAAAAAUAUUUAAAAUAAACCAAUCAUUAAUGUCUGUAGGUAUCUCCAAUUAAAUGUGCUCUCACAUGCGUUUAAUUAUAGUAUCUUGUUUAAUAAAAAAUACAGAGUUUUAAAAAUAGUACUUAAUAUUAGAACCUAAUAAAGUACAUAUUUUUUAAUCAUUCUUUGAAACUGUUCUGUCAUUUAAUGUCAAAAUAAAAUAAUUUAAUCUAACCAAAGUUUAGCAGACUCGGGGUUGAUACGUUUUAUAAUAAUUAAAAGCACACAAAAUGAAUUUAAAAUGUAUAAUUAUAAUACUAUAUCUAAAACAAAGUAUAAAUUUAUAAGCUUUUAAUAUUUAACAAAACAACAGGAAUCUACAAUUCAUUAAAUUAAUCUCUCUGAUAUUUCAGUUUUCAGUGAGAAUUAAUAUUUCUUAUUCCUAUAAAUAAAUAACUGAUAUUACUCGAUUUAAACGAAAUAAAGGAACAUCUAUUAAAUUUCAAAAUACUAAUUUACUAAUAAAAUAUUACUAACUUUUCAUUUAUUAUAUUACAUAUUAUUAUUUUUUUUAAAACUAAUUCAUUACAAAUAUAUUAUUCAUUUUAUAUAGAUACUUUUUUAAAAUUAUUUAAAAAGAAAAACCAAGAGUUGGAAUUGGGUUCGCCCUAUUCAGACACUUUUGUCAAAACAGGUUUAUUUGGAUAAGUAAAUUGGUUUUUUGAAUUUCGUUUUGAGAAAUAGGUUUUGUUUGGAAGGAUGAGUAUUAAUUAACGAGUAUUAAGCUCUAUGAUUGCAGUAAUCCAACUGAACCGGUGAGAUGCAUGAACCAACUAGAAGGAAUCACAUGAUUAGAAUCGUUUUUUCUUUUCAAGAAUCG